rnacentral:lncRNA from 1 species
CCUGUCUUACAAGGGUCCAAGCCCACACCUCCUGUCCUCAAAUGAAAACAGACAUUCAAUCCCUAGCUACUAGUCUCAUGGGUCUACUUCCAGAUUCAUAUCUUCCUGAGCCACUGUGGCAUCGGCUCAUGAAGUUACACAGCUGGCUUCACAUUUCCUCAUUGCUUUUUGCACCAAGAGAGUUCUCUCACUUUGUUUCCUCCUGGAUGUUGAACGCUGCCUGCCUGCCAAAACCGAGGGUCCCCACAGAGGCUUCCUGACACUUGGCUUUUUUAUUAGAAACACUCUGGGUAAGACCCAGUGAAUCUCCCCAGAGGAUCUGGCCCUCUUCCUAUGCAGUCCUUCUGGAGAGUUACCAUUUUAAAUAAAGAAACUGAAACAAAGAGAAAAUAGAUCACCACACUGCCUCCCCCGCUGACGGGUGAAUCCCUGCUUCUGAACUCUUUUGUCUCUGUCCCAUCACCACUGCCUAUCACUGCUUCCUGAUAAGAAAGCUAUCUUACAAAUGCCUACUUUGAGAAAUGGUGCAAAGACUACAAACUCUAAAGUCAAAUAGAUUAGGGUUCAGCUCUCACAGCUGCCACUUACUGGUUAUGAAUUUGAGUCACGUUUCUUAAUCCUACUGAAGUAGGCUGAUAAUGACUCCAACAAUUUGUCCACAUCCUAAUCCCUGGAACCUGUGAAUGUUACCGUAUGUAGUAAAUUUUUGCAGGUGUGAGUUCUUAAGGAUCUUGGUCUGAGUGGAUUAUCCUGAUUACCCAGAUGGGACCUAAAUGCCAUUACAAGUGACCUCAUAAGAAAGAGACAGAAGGAGAAUAGGCACCACACACACACAGGAGAAGGCAAUAUGAAGAUGGAGGCAGAGAUUGCAGUGAUGCGGCCAUAAGCCAAAGAAUGCAACAGCCCCCAGAAGCCGGAAGAGGCAAGGAAAGGAUGCUCCCCUGGAACCUCCAAAAGGAACAGCCCUGCUGACACCCUGAGGUCUGACUUCUGACCUCCAAAACUGUAAGAGAAUAAAUGUCUAUUGUUUUAAACCAUCAAGUUUGUGGUAAUUUGUUACAGCACCCACAGGAAACUAAUACACCUGCUAAGC